UACUGGCAACGCAUGUUCUAGAUAAACUGAACACUUCCUGUCUCUUUUCGGUUGAGACGUGCAGCACAGCCACAUUGAAACUUUGAUGAAGGAUCAGAAAGAUACAGACAAUACAUCCUGAAAGACAAGACCAGAACUACAAUCUUUGGACUGCUGAACAAAAGAUCAGGCUCACAGGAGUAUUCUUGUGUUACAGGAAUUGGCACCAUAUACAGAUCCUGUGAACCGGAAUACAGACUUUAAGAGAUAGAAGUAGCCAAAAGUCAAGUCACCAUUAUUUAUACAACACUUUCUACAUUACUGAUUGUUUCAAAACAGCUUUAUUGUGUUAAAACAGAACAUUGUUUGUCAAUAAUGCGAGGGGUCGACAGUACACCGGAAACGGCAUCAAAACUUCCCUCAAAAACAACUAAAGAAAUACAUAAUUUACUCUCUGAAUAUAAAGUUUUCAGCUCUUUUCCAUUGAGCCUUCUGUUACUUGGAUUGGAGGAGUUGAUUGAAAAGGAAUUAUUUAUAUGCCCGUGUCGAUCUGAUCUGAAUAAACUGGUAACAUCAUUCAUUUUAAUUGGACCUGCACUUUUUACGUUUGCUUUAAUGUAUCUCCUUUUAAGACCUUUUAGACGUAGGUGUUGCUGUGGGAGUAAGUGUAUCGAGAAGAAUGAGAACACAAAUGAAAAUAACUGUUUUAAUGCUUUUUUAUCUUGUCUGAUUCCACCUGUAAUGUGGAUCGUCUUAUUUUUACUUGAUGGUGAUUAUGUUGCUUGUGGAAUGACAGACUGGAAUGGAGUUUAUAAGUUUGAUAAUCAUCUCAAAAGGUCUUGGUGUAAACCUACUGAAGAGACACGAAAUGAAACAAUUCUACAAGAUAUGACGCGCACAUAUAUUCAUUGGUCUCAGUUAUCAGGUUAUGUCCUGAUCUCUAUCUUCAGCACACUGGUGAUUGUCUUCGUGGGUUUUUGUGACUGCUGCUGGAAACCUGAAAACUGACUGAACACACAUUAAGUGAUCUGCAUCACUUAAUGAUUAAUUCUUAAUGUCCCCAUCCACUCCAACUGUAAAUAAAUAAAUAAAAUAAAAUAUUAAAAUGUUAAACAUAAUUUUUCAUAAAAGGUUUAUGCACAUACAUAUGCAUUAUUUUAAGUGUUUUAAGAUUAAAACAGAUUUUUUUUUCUUUUUCUCAUGAAAUGCAUGCAAGUGUCUCUGUCUUAGAUUUAGUAGAAAGAAAAUGUUUAAAUUCACAUAAUAUUUGUAUAUUUGCAUUAGCAUUAGUAUUUUUUUUUCCUUCUUUGCAGAAUGUGAAACUACCUUAUUAUUUUACACAACUCGGACAAUGUCGGAGGAAAUUUAUUGCAGGAAAGUUAAUAUGUGAAUAUUUUGCAUUUGCACAUUUGUAAAAGUAUCUACUAAGAAAAAUAAAUUACAUUUUUAAUGUA